rnacentral:rRNA from 1 species
GAUGAACGCUGGCGGCGUGCCUAAUACAUGCAAGUCGAGCGAACAGACGAGGAGCUUGCUCCUCUGACGUUAGCGGCGGACGGGUGAGUAACACGUGGAUAACCUACCUAUAAGACUGUGAUAACUUCGGGAAACCGGAGCUAAUACCGGAUAAUAUAUUGAACCGCAUGGUUCAAUAGUGAAAGACGGUUUUGCUGUCACUUAUAGAUGGAUCCGCGCCGCAUUAGCUAGUUGGUAAGGUAACGGCUUACCAAGGCGACGAUGCGUAGCCGACCUGAGAGGGUGAUCGGCCACACUGGAACUGAGACACGGUCCAGACUCCUACGGGAGGCAGCAGUAGGGAAUCUUCCGCAAUGGGCGAAAGCAUGAAGGAGCAACGACGCGUGAGUGAGGAAGGUCUACGGAUCGUAAAACUCUGUUAUUAGGGAAGAACAAAUGUGUAAGUAACUAUGCACGUCUUGACGGUACCGAAUCAGAAAGACACGGCUAACUACGUG